rnacentral:hammerhead_ribozyme from 1 species
GUACUGCUGUGGAGUCCCAUAAUAGAACGAAACGGCCGUCCAGUGA